rnacentral:rRNA from 1 species
UNUGCUGGAACUUAACUGACGCUAAUGCGUGAAAGCGUGGGGAGCAANCAGGAUUAGAUACCCUGGUAGUCCACGCCNUAAACGAUGUAUACCGGUUGUUGCUGUGCUAGUCACGGCAGUAAUCCACCUAACGGAUUAAGUAUACCGCCUGGGGAGUACGGUCGCAAGAUUAAAACUCAAAGGAAUAGACGGGGACCCGCACAAGCGGUGGAGCAUGUGGUUUAAUUCGAAGAUACGCGAAGAACCUUACCCGGACUUGAUAUCUAACAAAUCAUCCAGAGAUGGAAGAGUGUCUGCUUGCAGAAAUGUUAAGACAGGUGCUGCACGGCUGUCGUCAGCUCGUGUCGUGAGAUGUUGGGUUAAGUCCCGCAACGAGCGCAACCCACGUCAUUAGUUGCUAACGGUUCGGCCGAGCACUCUAAUGAGACUGCCUUCGUAAGGAGGAGGAAGGUGUGGACGACGUCAAGUCAUCAUGGCCCUUAUGUCCGGGGCGACACACGUGCUACAAUGGCAUAUACAAUAAGACGCAAUAUCGUAAGAUGGAGCAAAUCUAAAAAAUAUGUCCCAGUUCGGAUUGGAGUCUGCAACUCGACUCCAUGAAGCCGGAAUCGCUAGUAAUCGUAGAUCAGCCAUGCUACGGUGAAUACGUUCCCGGGUCUUGUACUCACCGCCCGUCACACCNUGGGAGUUGAUUUCACUCGAAGC